rnacentral:rRNA from 1 species
UCUCGGCAAAUUAUCCUCAUAAGUUUGACAAUAAGAGAAACCAUAUAAAAUAAAAUUAUGCCAUAAUUUUAUUAAUUAUAUGGUAUAAUAAAAUCGGAGGCCACGACUGUUUACUAAAAACACAAUUCAGAGCAAUAAUUAAUAUAAUAGUAUUCUGGAUGAAAUUUGCCCAAUGCCAUUAAUAUAAGAGAGGUAAUAUUAAAGUUACUAAUCGAAAGUCUGGUUAAUAGCGGUCUUAACUAUGAGGAUCCUAAGGUAGCAAAAUAAAUUGGCCAUUAAAUGUGGUCUUGUAUCAAUAAUGUAACGAUGGUCUCACUGUCUCUACAACUUGCUCAGUGAAAUUGAAUUGCGAGUGCAGAUGCUCGCUGUCUUCAGGGGGACGGGAAGACCCUAUGCAGCUUCUACUGA